rnacentral:rRNA from 1 species
AAUGCCGGAUGCUCCAGUUGAUCGCAUGGUCUUCUGGGAAAGCUUUCGCGGUAUGGGAUGGGGUCGCGUCCUAUCAGCUUGACGGCGGGGUAACGGCCCACCGUGGCUUCGACGGGUAGCCGGCCUGAGAGGGCGACCGGCCACAUUGGGACUGAGAUACGGCCCAGACUCCUACGGGAGGCAGCAGUGGGGAAUAUUGCACAAUGGGCGCAAGCCUGAUGCAGCGACGCCGCGUGAGGGAUGGAGGCCUUCGGGUUGUAAACCUCUUUUAUCGGGGAGCAAGCGAGAGUGAGUUUACCCGUUGAAUAAGCACCGGCUAACUACGUGCCAGCAGCCGCGGUAAUACGUAGGGUGCAAGCGUUAUCCGGAAUUAUUGGGCGUAAAGGGCUCGUAGGCGGUUCGUCGCGUCCGGUGUGAAAGUCCAUCGCUUAACGGUGGAUCCGCGCCGGGUACGGGCGGGCUUGAGUGCGGUAGGGGAGACUGGAAUUCCCGGUGUAACGGUGGAAUGUG